rnacentral:misc_RNA from 1 species
ACAAACUUGGUCAUUUAGAGGAAGUAAAAGUCGUAACAAGGUAACCGUAGGUGAACCUGCGGUUGGAUCAUUACCAAUCGGAGCAAAAAUCUCCGUCACCUUUUGUGAAUUUGCAAUUGUUAUUGGCAGUUUACGGCUUUCGCUGUCUCGUGAUAGUACAUCCGAGUGACUUUGUAAGGCGUUAAGCGUUACAAGGUCGGCUGCCGACUGACCUGGUCUCAACAGCCAGGCUGGUUAAACAAACAUGCAUCUUAUCUAGUCUUGAAAUCUUCCAAUUUUUUGGAGAAUUCUAAAUAGCAAACAACUUUUGGCAACGGAUCUCUUGGCUCUCGCAUCGAUGAAGAACGCAGC